rnacentral:rRNA from 1 species
GAUGAACGCUGGCGGCGUGCCUAAUACAUGCAAGUCGAGCGAACGGACGAGAAGCUUGCUUCUCUGAUGUUAGCGGCGGACGGGUGAGUAACACGUGGAUAACCUACCUAUAAGACUGGGAUAACUUCGGGAAACCGGAGCUAAUACCGGAUGAUAUUUUGAACCGCAUGGUUCAAAAGUGAAAGACGGUCUUGCUGUCACUUAUAGAUGGAUCCGCGCUGCAUUAGCUAGUUGGUAAGGUAACGGCUUACCAAGGCAACGAUGCAUAGCCGACCUGAGAGGGAGAUCGGCCACACGGGAACUGAGACACGGUCCAGACUCCUACGGGAGGCAGCAGUAGGGAAUCUUCCGCAAUGGGCGAAAGCCUGACGGAGCAACGCCGCGUGAGUGAUGAAGGUCUUCGGAUCGUAAAACUCUGUUAUUAGGGAAGAACAUAUGUGUAAGUAACUGUGCACAUCUUGACGGUACCUAAUCAGAAAGCCACGGCUAACUACGUG